rnacentral:sRNA from 1 species
UUCAAAACUCAGCUUGGAACCACACCUUUUCAUUUUCUCUAUGGUAAAGCUUGUCAUCUUCGAGUGGAAUUAGAGCACAAAGCAGCUUGGGCAGUUAAGAUGAUGAAUU